rnacentral:rRNA from 2 species
ACGGAAGGCAGCAGUGGGGAAUAUUGGGCAAUGGGCGAAAGCCUGACCCAGCGACGCCGCGUGAGGGAAGAAGGUCUUCGGAUUGUAAACCUCUUUCAGCAGGGAAGAUAAUGACGGUACCUGCAGAAGAAGCCACGGCUAACUACGUGCCAGCAGCCGCGGUAAUACGUAGGUGGCAAGCGUUAUCCGGAUUUAUUGGGUGUAAAGGGUGUGUAGGCGGGACUGCAAGUCAGAAGUGAAAAUCAUGGGCUCAACCCAUGACCUGCUUUUGAAACUGUGGUUCUUGAGAGUGGGGGAGGUAAACGGAAUUCCUGGUGUAGCGGUGAAAUGCGUAGAUAUCAGGAGGAACACCGGUGGCGAAGGCGGUUUACUGGACCAUUACUGACGCUGAGACACGAAAGCGUGGGGAGCAAACAGGAUUAGAUACCCUGGUA